CAGUAGCCACGGGAAUACGAAGGGUGCAAGCGUUACUCGGAAUUACUGGGCGUAAAGCGUGCGUAGAUGGUGGUUUAAGUCCGUUGUGAAAGCCCUGGGCUCAACCUGGGAAUUGCAGUGGAUACUGGGUCACUAGAGUGUGGUAGAGGAUAGUGGAAUUUCCGGUGUAGCAGUGAAAUGCGUAGAGAUCGGAGGGAACAUCUGUGGCGAAGGCGACUAUCUGGGCCAACACUGACACUGAGGCACGAAAGCGUGGGGAGCAAACAGGAUUAGAUACCCCCGUAGUCCCUGUCUCUUAUAC
rnacentral:rRNA from 1 species